rnacentral:rRNA from 1 species
GACGAACGCUGGCGGCGUGCCUAAUACAUGCAAGUAGAACGCUGAAGGAGUAGCUUGCUCUUCUGGAUGAGUUGCGAACGGGUGAGUAACACGUAGGUAACCUGCCUGGUAGCGUGGGAUAACUAUUGGAAACGAUAGCUAAUACCGCAUAACAGUACAUGUUGCAUGACAUUUACUUAAAAGUUUCAAUUGCAUCACUACCACAUGGACCUGCGUUGUAUGAGCUAGUUGGUGGGGUAACGGCUCACUAAGGCGACUAUACAUCGCCGACCUGAGAUGGGGAUCGGCCACACUGGGAGUGAGACACGGCACAGAGUCACAGGGGAGGGAGCAGGAGGGAAUCGUCGGGAAGGGGUGGAAGUCAGAGCGAGAAACGCCGAGGGCGUGAAGAAGGUUGUCGGGUCGUAAAGGUCUGUUGUAAGAGAAGAACGCGUGUGAGAGUGGAAAGUUCAGACUGUGACGGUAACUUAUCAGAAAGGGACGGCUAACUACGUG